rfam:halophilic archaeon J07HX64 genomic scaffold scf_7180000098875, whole genome shotgun sequence.
CUGAUGGCCGCGUUCGGGUUAGUUGCGGACUGCAACACCCGGUUUCACUCCCGGUGCCGCCGGCGAUGGCGACACCGUCGGAGGGGGCGCGUGUCACCGUCAG